rnacentral:rRNA from 1 species
UACGUAGGUGGCGAGCGUUGUCCGGAUUUACUGGGCGUAAAGGGAGCGUAGGCGGACUUUUAAGUGAGAUGUGAAAUACCCGGGCUCAACUUGGGUGCUGCAUUUCAAACUGGAAGUCUAGAGUGCAGGAGAGGAGAAUGGAAUUCCUAGUGUAGCGGUGAAAUGCGUAGAGAUUAGGAAGAACACCAGUGGCGAAGGCGAUUCUCUGGACUGUAACUGACGCUGAGGCUCGAAAGCGUGGGGAGCAAACAGGAUUAGAUACUCGGGUA